CUAGCAGGACCUGCAGUGACCCCACCCUGUCCCCCACUCUGCGCUCACCUCCCUCCACCUUCACCUCUACCUGACACCACACAUUGCCCACAUACCAAGUUCCUAGAACAGCGAGUGUGUCAGGGCUGCCAACCAGCUUCCACCAUCGUCUCCCUCCCGCACUGGCACUCCUUCCACUGCCCAGGUCAUGUGAGACGUCGGGCCUGCUGGAUAAGCCGCUGUGUCUCCCUGUCCUCCUGUGUAACCUGAGCGUAAUAGCGUGACCUAAGUCACAAAGCAGAAACCUAAUUUGCAACUCAGACAAGUUAACAAAACUCUGAUUUGUGGGAAUAGAAUUGCCCUGGAGAUAGGUAAUGCUCUAAAUAACACACAGGAUCUCAAAAGAAGCUGACAAAAUGAACAACUGAUCAGGCUGUAUAUUCGGAUGCUGGUUCUUGGCUCCUAGAGAAGAGGAGCUGCUCAGAUGGUCAGUGUUGCUCUGAAAUAUGCGGGGUAGUGGAUGCCACCCUCCCAUCACCAUCACCUGGUGGACCUACACUCCGACAUCCUCGCUCAGCUCCUGUUCCUGGGCAACCUAACAGUCUACUAGACGAUAAACCACCCCCUGGGGAAAGACCAUCUAGUUAAUCCUGGAACCAUCAUCAGCCAGGCCAUUGGCAAGUACUCGGGACAGGGCGACCCUCCAGGAACUUGACUGCCUCGCUGUUAAUACUGUGCUGGGGGCAAAAAGCAGCCUUAGUUUAACUCCAGGACCCUGAAUCUAUAAUUGCAUUAAAUCCUCAUCCCAAUAAACUGACAAAACCCCAGCCUCAAGCACAGUUCUAUCUGCAAAUGAUCUUUGGUAUUUAACAACUGAUGAAGCAGUGUCUUAUGUACGAAAACAGAGUCAGAAGAUCCACAGAGAUGUUAUGGGGUCAUUUCCACAGCCUCGAACAUGGAGUGACCAUGGUCUGUCACAACAGUCUUCAAGGGAUGUUGGAUCAGGGCCCUUGAGAUUUCAGCUCCAGGUCAAGGGCCACCUACCCACCACCAGCAUGAAUUAAUCAUAGAAGGAUCACACAACCCCACACACUACAAGGGGAAGUUGACCGCCUUAGUUCCACUCAGGAGCAGUUAAAACAAAAUACGUCAGAAAAUACGCUUAGAGACAAAGAAUGGAGCCUGAAAGAAGAGUAAACAAAAAUGUGACAAAAUGAUUGAUAAAUGUGACUUCUGCCAUAGAUUUCCUAAAUUAGUGUAAGAAACCUGAAAAGCAACUCCAGAAACAGGGCCGUGUUCAUGGAUUCAAUGAAGAUGCACGUGUCUGCUCAGCAGGAGGCGAGAGUUUGCAGUCCGCAGAGACGCUCCCUCCUUCAUACAACAUGCCUUCUAGAUGGGGGCAGGGAACAGGUGACAUGUAAAGUGCACAGUGACAAAUAAAGACAAGGUCCCCAUGCCCUGGGGGCUCACAGUCAAGUUGUGGGAGCCACCACCACACAAGAAGCAACAGAGAAGACCCUGCGGAUAUGGAUGGUCAACCUCACAUGUUGCCCUGUCUUCAUUUGAUGAAGGUCUCAUCCAAACCCCAACAGAAUAACGCUUUAUGGGUGAUGCUAGUCAUGAGUGAGAGCAGGAGAUUAAACGGGGAGGUGGGUCACACCGAGGAAGCCUGCAGAGCCACAGCUCAGGGUCAGAAACCAACUGGAUUCAUGGGGUUCGUGUGCACGUGUAAGGAAGGCCACGCACACCAUUGUCCCGCUCAGGUUCUCCUGGCACAGCAAGCUCCUUCCUUACCCGACCAGCUAUCACCAUCCUGGGGGUGGCUCAGUGUGGUCCUCUCCCCCCACCACGUCGGGGUUUUAAGGCCUGAGCUCAGAUUCACACACAGAAUUCAUGACCUUGAGCCAUCCGUCCAUCACGGAGUCACGUCCAUGGCUUACAUGGUGACACGAGCAGGGGCCUGCAGGGAUGCCAGGGCAGAGCAGAAGCAUGUCCUGCCUCUGUGGACUUACAGUCUGGCCUGUGGUAUGAGUUCCCUGCUCUGAAAUAACACAAACCCACUGAUGAAGAACUAUCUACACAGGAAGCACACAACCCAAUGCAACAACAAGUGCUUCUUGGUAAAAAAUUAUGAUUUUCAAAAGCAGUUUGAAAACUGUGCUCAUUCUUUCUCUCAUUUUCUCUCUCUCUCUCUCUCUCUCUCUCUCUCAAACCCUGAUACCUGGUGUUACUGUGAAGAUUUAAUAAAAUAACACACAGAAAGCGGCUAGCACAUAGUAAGCCAUCAUAAGUAGAUUAAUACCCACCAUUUUGGUGGUGAUUGAUAUUUACUAUUUUCUUGUGCAAAUAACAUAUAAUUUGGCACACUGUUUUGGAGAUGGGACUGGGGCAGCCAAGAGCCUUCAGGCCUGACACAGCUGGUACUCGGUGCUGAGCAUCAUCAUCCAGAAGAUGUGCUGCAUCCCUUUCUGUGACUCUACUGCAGACACUUGUGUUUUACAGAGAAGGGGGCUGGCAUCUAGAAAGAUUAGGCAUCAUUUUCAGAGUCAACAGAGGUAAAUCCUAGUAAAUUUAGACCAAGCAUCCAGACAGUCUGACCCCAGGGCCUGUGCUCUUAAACCGCUCUUCAAAAUAAAACACAGCUGAGCAGAAUUCAAGUCAAAAAUAUAAAAAGUGGAUUAACUCUGCUUUUCUGUAUACUAUGGCCUUGGGUUCAGACUCUAGAGACCACAGCAGAGGCAUCCGGUAGGCCGUGAGGGAUUAGCCGUGCACCCCCCACACCACCAGCCUUGAGGGCAGAGAUAGAGCCAGGCCAGCCCCCUUGUGAGGGGGCACCAGCCCAGGUCCCCCGAUAGCCCCCUCUCUCACUCACCCGCAGGGAGUGCAGUCUGUGGGUGAUAGCAUGACCCUCGUCUUGCACUUGUUCAAGGCAG